UGAAAAUCAAAUGAUGAGCCAUGCUGGGC
rnacentral:piRNA from 1 species